CUCAGAAGGCAAUAUGGUGGCAAUUCUAAAAUGCCAGCUGGAAGAGAAGUAAAAGCUGCUGUUCAUGGAGUGGGAAGAUGUGUCUGUCCCCAAGAGCAAACUGAGGGAACUUAGAAGGAGAUGUCGUGAAAAAUGUCAAGACAGCAGUCUGGGAGGCCAAGGUGAAAAAGCAGCUGAUGGCCCAGAAGUGACCAUGUGGGCCAACUACUGGGAGCACAUGAAGGAGGUGCAGCAGAUUUAGGGCAAGAUCUGGAUUCUUCAGGGGCAGCUGCAGAACUCCAUCCUGAGGGAUACCUCGAACCAAGCCAUGAGCCAUGUGGGCGGCAAGCAGAAUGUGGAGCUGGCCAAGCUCUGGCAGGAGCUCAGCAAGCAGAGGAGGAGUCCUAGCAGUCACAGGUCAUAGUGAAACAUCUCAAAGGUAUUGUAGAGAAGCUAAAAGGGGAACAUGAAAAUUCAGAUCAGGUGAGGGAAUGCACCUAGCAUCUGGAGGCAAAGCUGGAGAAGCACAUGGAAGCUGCAGCACUGAGGGCCAGAACUACACCAAAGAGGUGGCAGGGUUGAGGCAACUUUAGAUAGAAUCUCAAUCUCAGCCAGAUGCAUCCAAG
rnacentral:lncRNA from 1 species